AGGUACAGGGGUAGGGGAGCGUUCGAAGUGCAGUGAAGUCAGACCGGAAGGACUGGUGGAGCGCUUUGAAGUGAGAAUGCCGGUAUGAGUAGCGAAAGACAAGUGAGAAUCUUGUCCAUCGAAAGCCUAAGGUUUCCUGAGGAAGGCUCGUCCGCUCAGGGUUAGUCGGGGCCUAAGCCGAGGCUGAAAAGCGUAGGCGAUGGAUAACAGGUUGAUAUUCCUGUACCACCUCCUUUCCGUUUGAACAAUGGGGGGACGCAGUAAGGUAGGGUGAGCGCACUGAUGGAAUAGUGCGUCUAAGCAGUUAGGCUGUUGGAUAGGCAAAUCCGUCCAACGUGAAGGCUGAGCUGUGAUGGCGAGGGAAAUUUUAGUACCGAAGUCCCUGAUCCUACACUGCCAAGAAAAGCCUCUAGUGAGGAAAGAGGUGCCCGUACCGCAAACCGACACAGGUAGGCGAGGAGAGAAUCCUAAGAUGAUCGGGAGAACUCUCGUUAAGGAACUCGGCAAAAUGACCCCGUAACUUCGGGAGAAGGGGUGCUCUGAUAGGGUUUAUCGCCCGAGAGAGCCGCAGUGAAUAGAUCCAAGCGACUGUUUAGCAAAAACACAGGUCUCUGCGAAACCGCAAGGUGAAGUAUAGGGGCUGACACCUGCCCGGUGCUGGAAGGUUAAGAGGAGGGGUUAUCCUUUUAGGAGAAGCUCUGAAUUGAAGCCCCAGUAAACGGCGGCCGUAACUAUAACGGUCCUAAGGUAGCGAAAUUCCUUGUCGGGUAAGUUCCGACCCGCACGAAAGGUGUAACGACUUGGAUACUGUCUCAACGAGAGACCCGGUGAAAUUAUAGUACCUGUGAAGAUGCAGGUUACCCGCGACAGGACGGAAAGACCCCAUGGAGCUUUACUGCAGCUUGAUAUUGGAUUUUGGUACAGCUUGUACAGGAUAGGUAGGAGCCUGAGAAGCCGGAGCGCCAGCUUCGGUGGAGGCGUCGGUGGGAUACUACCCUGGCUGUAUUGAAAUUCUAACCUUGGACCGUGAUCCGGUUCGGAGACAGUGUCAGGCGGGCAGUUUGACUGGGGCGGUCGCCUCCUAAACAGUAACGGAGGCGCCCAAAGGUUCCCUCAGAAUGGUUGGAAAUCAUUCGCAGAGUGUAAAGGCACAAGGGAGCUUGACUGCGAGACCUACAAGUCGAGCAGGGACGAAAGUCGGGCUUAGUGAUCCGGUGGUUCCGCAUGGAAGGGCCAUCGCUCAACGGAUAAAAGCUACCCUGGGGAUAACAGGCUUAUCUCCCCCAAGAGUCCACAUCGACGGGGAGGU
rnacentral:rRNA from 1 species